AGGGUCUGCUCUGAACAGGGCCUGAAGAAAUGUCUUCUCCAUCUACAAGACACCCUACAGCAAUCUGGGGUCAUUGUGAUGGGGGGCACAAAACCUGUGGCCUUCCCACGAACAAACUCUCUACAUGU
ensembl:snoRNA